UCGAUGGUAGGAUAGUGGCCUA
rnacentral:siRNA from 1 species